CCUACGGGAAGCAGCAGUGGGGAAUAUUGCACAAUGGGGGAAACCCUGAUGCAGCGACGCCGCGUGAGUGAUGACGGCUUUCUGGGUGUAAAGCUCUAUCAGCAGGGAAGAAAAAGGCGGUACCUGUGUAAUAAUCCCCGGCUAACUCCGUGCCAGCCGCCGCGGUCAUGCGGAAGGGGCAGGCGUUAUCCGGAUUUACUGGGUGUAAAGGGGACGUAGUCGGCAGCACAAGUAUGGAGUGAAAUGCCGGGGCUUAACCCCGGAACUGCUUGGGAAACUGUGCAGCUAGAGUGCAGGAGGGGUAAGUGGAAUUCCUAGUGUAGCGGUGAAAUGCGUAGAUAUUAGGAGGAACACCAGUUGCGAAGGCGGCUUACUGGACUGUAACUGACGUUGAGGCUCGAAAGCGUGGGGAGCAAACAGGAUUAGAUACCCUGGUAGUC
rnacentral:rRNA from 1 species